GUCCUGGUAGUAUAAACCAUUACCAUGGUCUUGUAAACCAUAAAUGAACCAUAAAUGCUUCCCAGGAC
rnacentral:tRNA from 1 species